CUUCGUGUGGUUCCAUCAAGCUACACAGUUCAUGACCAGAGUUAGGGUCUAAUUUCAGCUGUAGCCACCCAUAUUUAUAAAUGUCUGUCAUGCAAAAUUUAUCAAAUGAUGAAAAGAUUGGGAGAUUUGGAGCGUUCAAAAUAAUAUACAAAUAACCAAAACUACAUGGUUAAGUCACGACUCUCUAAAUAGUUUAAUUUAACUUAAUUUCUAAGGAGUCAACUUUUUCUGUCUGACCAACAUCUACAGGUUCAGAGGACUUUAUUUUAACAGUGACACACUCCGGUACAGUAGGCGGCGACAUGCACCUGUGAAGUUGUUCUGUAAUCUGCCCUUGAAACCAAAGAAGAAGAGGAAGGUAACGGAGAAGAAGAUAUAUCCGCCACCUGUAACCAAUGACUGUAACUGUACUCAUCACACACAAGUUCAAGUUGAUGAGAACUGGAUACAUUUGUUUUGACCGAAUCGACAGAUAAUUUUUGAUCGGUUACUUUCCUUUUUUUCGCUCGAGCGGCGUUUUCUGAGCAGUGGAAACUUUUUUUGAACCAGUUUGACGGACAUUUACAUUUACCUGAUAGCCACCUGUUGGCUAACUUAACUACGUUUUUCACUCCCAAAGGCUGUUUGUGAGAAGUAAAAAAAAAAAAAAAAAAAAAAAAAAAAUCAAAGGGACAUUUAUCACCUGCUAGCAAGCUUCUUUUCCGGCCUGAGCGGCCUGUUGAAAAUGGAUGUAACUGUCAAGUCAAACUCAGGUGGGAAUCCUGUGCAUUGAUCAAGAAAAUCCUCAGCUCAACCCAUCCAGAGUUGGGAUCUUCUUGGAAGGGACUGUGGUGAUGGAUAAACUAGCAAACCUGCUUUAGGCCUACUGUCUCCUUUUCAAACUGAUUGAUGCCCUGCACCUGGACUACCCCAAGUACACGAAAAACACUUUCAGCCUUGUUCAGCAGGGACACAAAAGAAAUGGUUGACUGCCUAAAAACAUGCCUGGUGCUGGCAGGCAUCACUGUAAUGCUUCAGGACUCCUCAGCAGGAAGGCGGCUUGACUACAUGGAGCUUGAACCCGGUUCUACUCAUCUACUAACCCACAAGACCUCACUGUGUGUUGCCAACAUCUCCCGCCACAGAGCCCUGUAUUAAGGUUUGACCUCUACCUCCUUAUUUGUUGUAGAUAAAACUGUCAGUUCCUAAAUUGCAUAAAAGGUUUAGGAUCUGGCUUAUUACCGUAGUCAUCUGAGCGCUUGGAGACUGCAGAGCACAGAAAGAAAGGCAAGAGUGAGUAAUCCAAAUCAGAUUAGUCAGUGAUUCAUUCUGUAAUCACAGCCUCCAAACUUGCAUUUUUUCAGACCAACGGAUAUUGGCAUCCAGGGACUGGAGGCCAUAAUCACAGGGGAUAGAUCUGUACCAAGCAGUGGGCCAACUCAGAGAUAUUUCAUUACUGAUCCAGUAACCAUCAUUUACCGGGAGAGUGUUUGUGUGUGUGUCUGUGUGUGUGUAAGGCUAAAGGGUAACAUUGGUUCUUGCCUGUUUCCCAUUUCCCCUCAAUCAGAGGAACCUCUCGUCCAAUUUCACCCUCCCCUUCCUUCCACCCCCAUCCUCUGCUAAUUAGGGUUCCAGAUCACUGCCACAUGCAUGUGGGCUGACAGCAGCGUGUGUGUGUGUGUGUGUGUAUGUGUGUGUG